UUGUGUAUAUUUCUGUGCUAAAAUCAGUGAGGAUUAGCUUUUCAUUCCAUGUGCAUCUGUCCCCUCCAAAAAAGAAGAAAGCAUCUAGAUGUCACAAUCCUUUUUUUGCUCCAAACAAUUGGCCCCAUGUUUCCUUUGUUUUUAUUUAUUUAUUUCCAGCAUUUAUACCCCACCCUUCUCACCCGCGGGGACCCAGGGCAGCUUGCAACAGUUGGCAAGAAAGCGAUGAAGGGUUCGGCAGCACUGAGGAAGGACUUGAACGUCCUCAGAUUUUGGUGUCUACUGGAAACCAAAUACCAGCAGAUAUCAAGGGUCCACUAUACUGGGGGCUGAAAGGCUCAGCCCAGCUCCCGCCUGGCACCUGGAGACUGAUCUAGCUGAGUUUUGGCACCAUUACCAUUAUGACAACCACAGCGCAACUAGCAGGUCUGCCCUAUGAAUUGAGGAAAAGUUCAUCCGCCUAAGUGUUGGAUUUUGGUGCGCCGUUUAAGAAUUUCUUCAAGGUUUUCCACUGGAUGUCAACAAUUUAAAUUUGUAGAAAUAUUUAUAUUGCAAAGAGUUGGGCCUGAGGUACGAGGCUUGAAUGAAAAGUAAUGCCUCCACCUUCGUAACUCCUCAACAGAUGGCAGUCCUGGUCUGCAGCAGGUACUGGCUUAUUCAGUAGACUCUCCUCUACAGUUCCAUUUGGUGGGAAGCCUGAGCAUUGAACGGCUGUGUUGUUAAAGUGCAAAGUAUGGGACCCUGCGCAGACGGUCGGUCAAUGCGACUUAAGCAACGUGCAGUCAUUGAAUUCUCGACAGCAGAAGGUGCCACCACAAAGGAGAUUCAUCAGAGAAUGCAAGCUGUUUAUGGGGAUUGUGUUGAUGGGAGAGUAAGUUUCAAGAAGUGGGAACAUCUGACUUGCGUGACAAACAAAGAGUUGGACGUCCUGCGACAGCAACCACCGAGUUUCAAGCUAAAGGUUGACAGAUUGAUUCAGAACGAUUGCCAUAUCACUCAGAGAGAAAUUUCAAGCAUAAUCGGCAUUUCGCAAAAAUUAUUGCUUUGCUUGGCUAUCAGAAGAUCUGUGCAGGACGGAUACUGUGAGAUGCUGGUUGUGGAAGCAGAGUGCCGACUUCUUCCAUGACGGUUUCAGAACUGCGGCAAUUUUUAAGGGUUUUUUUCAUGUCAGGAGUGACUUGAGAAACUGUAAGUCGCUUCUGGUGUGAGAGAAUUGGCCAUCUGCAAGGAUGUUAGAGAAAGAACUACCCCACUCCUGAAGCAGCUACACUGGCUUCCGGUUUGUUUCUGGGCGCAAUUCAAGUUGCUGGCUUUGGCCUACAAAGCUGUAUACAGUUUGGGCCCAGCCUACUUGAGGGACUGUAGCUCCUUCUACCAACCCACUCGAGCUUCUUUUUUUUU